rnacentral:misc_RNA from 1 species
AACGCACAUUGCGCCCCCUGGUAUUCCGGGGGGCAUGCCUGUUCGAGCGUCAUUACAACCCUCAAGCUCUGCUUGGUAUUGGGCUCUGCCGGUCCCGGCAGGCCUUAAAAUCAGUGGCGGUGCCAUUCGGCUUCAAGCGUAGUAAUUCUUCUCGCUUUGGAGGCCCGGGUGCGCGCUAGCCAGCAACCCCCAAUUUUUUCAGGUUGACCUCGGAUCAGGUAGGGAUACCCGCUGAACUUAA